AUAGAUCCUGAAACCGCAUGCUUACAAAAAGUAGGAGCCUCGAAAGGGGUGACUGCGUACCUUUUGUAUAAUGGGUCAGCGACUUACAUUCAGUGGCAAGGUUAACCGAAUAGGGAAGCCGUAGAGAAAUCGAGUCCGAAUAGGGCGAUCAGUCGCUGGGUGUAGACCCGAAACCAAGUGAUCUAUCCAUGGGCAGGAUGAAGGUGCCGUAACAGGUACUGGAGGUCCGAACCGACUAAUGUUGCAAAAUUAGCGGAUGACCUGUGGAUAGGGGUGAAAGGCUAAACAAACUUGGAAAUAGCUGGUUCUCUCCGAAAACUAUUUAGGUAGUGCCUCAAGUAUUACCAUCGGGGGUAGAGCACUGUUUUGGCUAGGGGGUCAUGGCGACUUACCAAACCAAGGCAAACUCCGAAUACCGAUGAGUACAGCUUGGGAGACAGAGCACCGGGUGCUAACGUCCGGACUCAAGAGGGAAACAACCCAGACCGCCAGCUAAGGUCCCUAAAAUUGGCUAAGUGGGAAACGAAGUGGGAAGGCUAAAACAGUCAGGAUGUUGGCUUAGAAGCAGCCAUCAUUUAAAGAAAGCGUAAUAGCUCACUGAUCGAGUCGUCCUGCGCGGAAGAUGUAACGGGGCUAAGCCAGUUACCGAAGCUGCGGAUUUGCAAUUUAUUGCAAGUGGUAGGAGAGCGUUCUGUAGGCCUGUGAAGGUGGUGGUGUAAACCCUGCUGGAGGUAUCAGAAGUGCGAAUGCUGACAUGAGUAGCGUUAAAGGGGGUGAAAAGCCCCCUCGCCGUAAGCGCAAGGUUUUCUACGCAACGUUCAUCGGCGUAGAGUGAGUCGGCCCCUAAGGCGAGGCAGAGAUGCGUAGCUGAUGGGAAACAGGUCAAUAUUCCUGUACCGAUGACAAGUGCGAUGUGGGGACGGAGAAGGUUAGCUCAGCCAACUGUUGGAUAUGUUGGUUCAAGCCUGUAGUCGUGCUCGGUAGGCAAAUCCGCCGGGCUUAGAUGAGGGGUGAUAACGAGGGUGCUUGCACCUGAAGUGAGUGAUACCCUGCUUCCAGGAAAAGCCACUAAGCUUCAGCUUGUCAUUGACCGUACCGCAAACCGACACUGGUGCGCGAGAUGAGUAUUCUAAGGCGCUUGAGAGAACUCAGGAGAAGGAACUCGGCAAAUUGAUACCGUAACUUCGGGAGAAGGUAUGCCCCCAAGUAGGUGAACUCGAACAGAGGGAGCCCAACGGGGGUUGCAAAAAAUCGGUGGCUGCGACUGUUUAAUAAAAAACACAGCACUCUGCAAACACGAAAGUGGACGUAUAGGGUGUGACGCCUGCCCGGUGCUGGAAGAUUAAAUGAUGGGGUGCAAGCUCUUGAUUGAAGUCCCAGUAAACGGCGGCCGUAACUAUAACGGUCCUAAGGUAGCGAAAUUCCUUGUCGGGUAAGUUCCGACCUGCACGAAUGGCGUAACGAUGGCCACACUGUCUCCUCCUGAGACUCAGCGAAGUUGAAAUGUUUGUGAUGAUGCAAUCUCCCCGCGGAAAGACGGAAAGACCCCAUGAACCUUUACUGUAGCUUUGUAUUGGACUUUGAACAGAUCUGUGUAGGAUAGGUGGGAGGCUUUGAAGCGAGGUCGCUAGAUCUCGUGGAGCCAACGUUGAAAUACCACCCUGGUGUGUUUGAGGUUCUAACCUAGGUCCAUUAUCUGGAUCGGGGGACAGUGCAUGGUAGGCAGUUUGACUGGGGGCGGUCUCCUCCCAAAGCGUAACGGAGGAGUUCGAAGGUACGCUAGUUACGGUCGGACAUCGUGAUAAUAGUGCAAUGGCAUAAGCGUGCUUAACUGCGAGACUGACAAGUCGAGCAGAUACGAAAGUAGGACAUAGUGAUCCGGUGGUUCUGUAUGGAAGGGCCAUCGCUCAACGGAUAAAAGGUACUCUGGGGAUAACAGGCUGAUACCGCCCAAGAGUUCAUAUCGACGGCGGUGUUUGGCACCUCGAUGUCGGCUCAUCUCAUCCUGGGGCUGUAGCCGGUCCCAAGGGUAUGGCUGUUCGCCAUUUAAAGAGGUACGUGAGCUGGGUUUAAAACGUCGUGAGACAGUUUGGUCCCUAUCUUCCGUGGGCGCUG
rnacentral:rRNA from 1 species